rnacentral:rRNA from 1 species
CAAAGAGGGGGACCUUCGGGCCUCUUGCCAUCGGAUGUGCCCAGAUGGGAUUAGCUAGUAGGUGGGGUAACGGCUCACCUAGGCGACGAUCCCUAGCUGGUCUGAGAGGAUGACCAGCCACACUGGAACUGAGACACGGUCCAGACUCCUACGGGAGGCAGCAGUGGGGAAUAUUGCACAAUGGGCGCAAGCCUGAUGCAGCCAUGCCGCGUGUAUGAAGAAGGCCUUCGGGUUGUAAAGUACUUUCAGCGGGGAGGAAGGGAGUAAAGUUAAUACCUUUGCUCAUUGACGUUACCCGCAGAAGAAGCACCGGCUAACUCCGUGCCAGCAGCCGCGGUAAUACGGAGGGUGCAAGCGUUAAUCGGAAUUACUGGGCGUAAAGCGCACGCAGGCGGUUUGUUAAGUCAGAUGUGAAAUCCCCGGGCUCAACCUGGGAACUGCAUCUGAUACUGGCAAGC